GUCCACGCCCUAAACGAUGCAUAUUUGGUGUGGGCAGUUCAUUCUGUCCGUGCCGGAGCUAACGCGUUAAAUAUGCCGCCUGGGGAGUACAGUCGCAAGGCUGAAACUCAAAGGAAUUGACGGGGGCCCGCACAAGCGGUGGAGCAUGUGGUUCAAUUCGACGCAACGCGAAGAACCUUACCUGGGCUCGAACGGCCGGUUAACGGCGUUAGAAAUAGCGCUACCCCGCAAGGGGGUCCGGUCGAGGUGCUGCAUGGCUGUCGU
rnacentral:rRNA from 1 species